rnacentral:lncRNA from 1 species
CUUUUUUUUUUUUUUUUUUUUUUUUUUUUUUGCAGAGAACUGCAUUUGUUUCUAUCUGUGCAGCCAUAGCUACAUCAUUCAUAUGUAAUGUUUGUCUUUUAUAUUAUUUUGUAUAAUUUUGAUGAUUUUCGUGGAAAACGUGAUGAAAACAUUUCCCCAAAAAAAGUGUUGCUGAAUUUAAAUGUGUUUAAAAACUUAAUCCCCAUGAGCAUAGAUGAUCAAACACUCAACAAAUAUUUACCGAAUAAGCAAGCUACUUUGUUUACAGAUUGUGGGAGGUACUAAAGAUGCAAAGUGUUUAAAAUGUGAAUAUUGUUCUCAUUUAAUUUAAACAUAUAUGGAAGAACGGGGCACAAACCAGAAAAGCCAAGUAAUAAUAAACCAAUGUGGCAUAAGCUAAGUCUGAAUGCCUGACAUGGAUAAAAAUAACUAGAAGGUAGGAAGACAAGGGUUAAUAUCCUGGCUUUGCCAUUUGCUCCUUGUGUGAUGUCGGGUAAGUUAAUUUUGCUAAAUCUCAGUUUUGUUGUCUGUAAAAUGGUUCCAGCAACAGCCAUUUGGUGAGUUGUUGCAAGGUUAGAAAUUAGAGGCAAUGAUAAGUCCCUGUCAUUUAAGAAGCAUUCCCAUUACUAUGAACUAUUUCAUUAUUGGGUAGGUGUUAGCUAUAUACUAGCUAUUAUAUAAUAGCUUUACAUGGAUUAGCUAUUAAGUUCUCACAAUAUUUUACAGAUGGGGAGAGCAGGGUUUAGAGAGUAAAAGAAUUUGACCCAUGUUCCACAAUUAGGAAACAAAUUUCAGGGUGGGAAUUUGGACUUAGGACUAACCCCAAAGCCCAGCUCCUAAUUAUGAUACAUCCGAGAGCACUGUGAUAGCUAUGGGAAUUAACAGUUUCAUCAAUGUAAACCAAGAAAGUCAAGGAUAUACUUGUGGAGGACAUGUAACCUGUCCUGGUCUCUGAUAAAAGAUUGGAGUUAAAUAUGUUGAUAUGAAAGAGAAAAGGCCGUUCUAAACAGAACGAAUAAUGUACUUGAGGCUCUGAAAGGGAUGCAUAUGCAUCAGGCUGGGCGGACAGUAAGCUCUUGUGCAGUAGGGAUAGAACCAGUGUUUACAUGGAUAGGUUGGUGUCAAACCACAGAGGCGACUGAAGUUGAGGCAAACAAAUCUGCACUUGAUUCUCUAAGGAAUUGUGAACCUUAGAUGAUGUGCAAGCCGAUACAUAAGAUAAUGAAAUAAAACAGACUUUCAAUUGACCAAUCAAUAACUAUUGGGAAUGGAUGUCAUUCAGAGUGGCAUUUUAAGAAGGAUGAAUUGGAGAAGAAAAAAAAAAA